CGGGACGGGUGAGUAACGCGUGGGUAACCUGCCUCAUACAGGGGGAUAACAGUUAGAAAUGACUGCUAAUACCGCAUAAGCGCACGGGGAUGCAUAUUCUUGUGUGAAAAACUCCGGUGGUAUGAGAUGGACCCGCGUCUGAUUAGCUAGUUGGUGAGGUAACGGCUCACCAAGGCGACGAUCAGUAGCCGACCUGAGAGGGUGACCGGCCACAUUGGGACUGAGACACGGCCCAAACUCCUACGGAAGGCAGCAG
rnacentral:rRNA from 1 species